rnacentral:lncRNA from 1 species
UCCCACUCUGAGAUGGAAACCUUUGGCAGAAUCACAUUCUUACAUUUCUGUGUUCAUGUAUUUGAAGUGAAAUUAAAGUUAUUUAUAGCUUAAUGGCAAGAAAGUGAAAGUGGAAUGUGCUAAAAAAUAGAAUUAUCCUUUUCAGUGAAUCUAAAUAUUUUCCUUCCUCUGUCUAAAAGAAGCUUCAUCUCCUCUCUCUGUUUACACCAGCUUUACUGUCUGAUUGGCUUUUGGAGACUCAGAUUUGAAGCCAAACAGAAAAGUCGAUAUUGUUUUCACAGAAUGUUUUCUAACAGGAAAUAUUUGUCAAACAUUUGUUUCCAGUUUCUGUCCUUCCAUGUGUUGUCCCUUAAUCUGAACUGGAACCAAAUGAAGCAGAGUGUAAUCACCUCCUAUGAGCCAUCCUGCCACAAUAAUCAUCCAUGCAGUCUCUUUUGUGGAACCACAAGGGAGCCUGGAGUGACUGGAGCCCCACUGGAUCAUCACCAGUAGGAAGAAUAAAAACAACUACAGGAGAAGUUUUUAGAAGGCCAGUAAAGAGAGCAUGGAGGCAGAUGGAGGAUGCCACGUCCACUGAAUCUACACGCUUCCUGUUUCCACCUCAUCCUUCCAGUGCUCUACUAUACUCCCUGCUCUCUCUACCACAGCUGCCUUUGAACUUGGCUGGGCCAGGUCUGACUCCAGUCAGGUCACAUGACACAGGGGUGUGCUCUGAUAUCAGCAGGCAGGUCAGUGGAGCCCUCUGGUGA